rnacentral:misc_RNA from 1 species
CACAACUUUGCCUAAAAACGUACUUGCGAGCUUGUUCAAUCUUCUGUAGUGGGGGUAAGCGCUUGCAUGGCUAAAGCCUGAAAAUUGGAAGAUUCUUGGAUUGCAACUUUCUUCCUCUCCUCCAUUAGAAGAUUUUUUAAGAUUUUGGGGCCAAGAAUUUUGAGCGUUACUCAAAGAAGGUUGAAGAAGAAGAUGAAAUUGAAGAAAGUGAAGCCAGUGUCUGGAGCCUAGCAUUGGCUGAUCGCGAGGGGUUGCAGGGCGAGACUCUCCUCUCUACUCUCAGUUUCCUCUCUUGCUCUCUCACUCAAGCCUGGAAGGCAG